GUUAGUGUAGUUUACACGAUUUAAGGAUUAGAUGGAUUUUUGGUGUUUGAAUUUUUGUGGUCAUGGAGCAUGGAUGAAACUAAUUUGAAGUUAAAAGUGAUGCAUUUUUGCAAUUAAUCAAGGUAAUAAGGUUUUACAAUUUUGUAUUUGGCCAAAUGAUCAUACUUUUGAUAUUUUUUUAAAGUUUGGCCAAAGCUUUUAACUUUGUGAAUGAAUUUUAAAAAAAUGAAAUUUUUAGCCAAAACUGAAAACGUAUGCUAAAAAAAAAAGGAAUGUUAUCAUUUUCCCCUUGUUUUUUAUUUGGUAUGUGGUAACACUAUCAAAUUAAAAA
rnacentral:misc_RNA from 1 species